GUUUACGGCCAUACCACCCUGAACACGCCCGAUCUCAUCUAAUCUCAGAAGCUAAGCAGGGUCAGGCCUUGUUAGUACUUGGAAGGGAGAAAUGUAUUCAACAGAAAAGGUUCACAAUGAUCA
rnacentral:rRNA from 1 species